rnacentral:rRNA from 1 species
AGCGAACGCUGGCGGCAGGCUUAACACAUGCAAGUCGAGCGGGCAUCCUUGUGGUGUCAGCGGCAGACGGGUGAGUAACGCGUGGGAACGUGCCCUUCGGUUCGGAAUAACUCAGGGAAACUUGAGCUAAUACCGGAUACGUGCGAGAGCAGAAAGGUUUAUCUGCCGAAGGAUCGGCCCGCGUCUGAUUAGCUAGUUGGUGAGGUUAUGGCUCACCAAGGCGACGACCAGUAGCUGGUCUGAGAGGAUGAUCAGCCACACUGGGACUGAGACACGGCCCAGACUCCUACGGGAGGCAGCAGUGGGGAAUAUUGGACAAUGGGGGCAACCCUGAUCCAGCCAUGCCGCGUGAGUGAUGACGGCCUUAGGGUUGUAAAGCUCUUUUCUGCGGGACGAUAAUGACGGUACCGGAGGAAUAAGCCCCGGCUAACUUCGUG